rnacentral:tRNA from 1 species
AUCCCCUUAGUUAAAUGGAUAUAACAAGGUCCUCCUAAGACCUAGUUGCUGGUUCGAUUCCAGCAGGGGAUG